rnacentral:rRNA from 1 species
UGCGGAAGGAUCAUUACAACAAGGUUCCCUGGCCCUCGAAGCUUCGGGCGGAGGGGUGCUACAGCCUGACUUUAUACCCACCCUUUGCCUAUGUGUACCCCUAUUGCUUCCCUCGGCGGGUUCGCCCGCCGACAGGAACCAACUAAACCCUUUGCAUUAUACAUUUAACACUUCCGAUACAAAACUAAAUUAUUACAACUUUUAACAAUGGAUCUCUUGGUUCUGGCAUCGAUGAAGAACGCAGCGAAAUGCGAUAAGUAGUGUGAAUUGCAGAAUUCAGUGAAUCAUCGAAUCUUUGAACGCACAUUGCGCCCCUCGGUAUUCCGUGGGGCAUGCCUGUUCGAGCGUCAUUUACACCCUCAAGCUCUGCUUGGUGUUGGGCGUCUGUCCCGCCUCCGUGCGCGGACUCGCCUCAAAGUCAUGGCAGCGGUCUCGGUCGGCUUCUCGCGCAGCACAUUGCGCUUCUGGAGCCCCGGCGGAUCAGCGUCCAGGCAAGCAAUUUCAUACUGACCUCGGAUCAGGUA